rnacentral:misc_RNA from 1 species
UCCGAGUUGACCCCGGCAGUCUCCUACGAGUCCCCGCCAUUACGCGCUGGCAACAUAGGACAAGGGUUGCGCUCGUUGCGCCACUUAAGGCAACACCUCACGGCACGAGCUGACGACAGCCAUGCACCACCUGUGCGGGCUCCGAAGAGCGCCGUGUUUCCACGGCUUCACCCCGCAUGUCAAGUCCUGGUAAGGUUCUUCGCGUUGCGUCGAAUUAAGCCACAUGCUCCGCCGCUUGUGCGGGCCCCUGUCAAUUCCUUUGAGUUUUAGCCUUGCGGCCGUACUCCCCAGGCGGGGUGCUUAUUGCGUUAGCUUCGGCACGGAAAGGGUCAAUACUCCCCACACCUAGCACCCAACGUUUACGGCUGGGACUAC